rnacentral:rRNA from 1 species
CACGUAGAAGGCUAGUGUUAUUCAUCUUUAUUAGGUUAAGGUAAGCUUAGAUCGGGAAAGUACAAGCCCAUAAAUAGGGGACUAAUUUUUCUAGAGUUUUAUGAGAGAAGGGGCGAAUUUCCGGAGGAAAGUUGAUAUUUUUGUGAUACUGGAAGGACGGGUAACGGCGAAGGCAACUUUCAUUGUAAAAACUGACGUUGAGGGACGAAGCCUUGGGUAACGAGAAGG